ACCUGGAUGGCUCAAUCAGUUAAGCAUCUGACUUCAGCUCAGGUCAUGAUCUCAUGGUUCGUGGGUUCAAGCCCGGCUUUGGGUU
rnacentral:tRNA from 1 species